CUCUUAAACUACAAAAGACUUAGUCUCCUAUAUAGUUCUACCCUGUCAUUGCUUUAUACAAAAGUUAGCUCAUUACAUCCUCUCCACUCAAUUGUCGACAUCCUCAUUGAUUGGUUGGCUUAUAACUCUUGAUCUUUUACUUGAAAGCAUGGAAGUUGGCUUCUUUCUCCCAGCAUUUGUCCUCCGACUUUGUCCUAAAUUAGACACAAGAAGGUCACAGUCACCCCAUCACAACAGCAGCAGCCAUCAUCACUGCCUUCUUCUGUUAUUGACUUAAAAAUAUCGCCGCCGUCGACCCUGCCUCUGCCACCACCACUGUCAUCGUCCCCUUCCUUCAAUGCGGAGUCACAACUACUUAACUUACUCGCUGCUCGGUAGCAUAUACAGUGGCAAAGUGCAAUCUUGACAUUUUGCUUCACUUUUGCCCUUGGAUUCUCUCUCCAAGUUUCACAAACUGAUCAAUCCAAGAACAAGGAGGGCCCUUUUUCCUUUGUGUUGCUUUCUUUUGCUGUCUUGCUUAUAUUUGUCAUUCUCUUCGUUGCAUUAUUUAUCAGCCAAAACAAUACCUAAACUGCACAAGUGUUGGAAAAAGUUCCACUGUUUCUAGCUGCCGCAGCAUUUUGCCACGCCACUGCAACUGCUUUUCCAUUGAAGCUGAAGUUCACUACAUGGACUCUGUUUUUCAUCUUCUUAUUUGUUGUCGUAUUUGUGCCACUGCUAUUCUUGAAUCGAAACCGUGCUACUUAAUCCAAGUAGAGCUAGAGCAGAGUUGUGAUGCUUAUACUAAACCAAUUGUUCAGAAAUUGAUUCCUUCUUCUUUUCUUUUCUUUUCUUUUUAUUUUUUUUACAUUGAACCAAUCACUAGGGGUGGGAACAGACCAAGGUCAUUCAUGGGUCUACUUAGAUUAAUUUUAGGGUAAUUCUACAAUUUGACAGGGGGCUCAUGUUUCUAUUUUUAAGAGCCAACGCUUUUAAAGUAAAAGUUGUGUAAAUUUUGUAAGUAUGAUUGAUGAUUUAAAAUAGUAAAUCGAUCACUUAAACUGAUACCA